GCAAUAUGCAUUUGCAUUUUGAAGCAAAAUAAUAAACCAUUAAAAUAUCAGAACUAAAAUCACUGCGUUUCUGAAGUGACACCAUUGUGAAAAGAGUCUUUUGAGUCUUUUGUAAUAUUUUUUAGCAGGAAAAAUACCAUUAUGAAAUUCACAUAACUGUUAACAUAAUUAACAUAUAAAACACUCAUCAAGAAUGCCCACUUUUGUGCAUUUUUGUGUUUAUUAACAAUAAAAACAAUAUUUAAGAAAUUGUAAAUGCAUUUCCUGUUUACUGACACCACGUAGUGGGCAUUCACGCUAUUACGUUUCCACUAACCAAUGAAAUUACAGGUGGGCGUGGCUGAAUGUGCAGCCCCGCCCCAUAUUCAUCCCCGCCCAGAUCUGCGGGCUGCAGACAGGGGCUUCUCCCCUUUUGUCGCCUGAAGAGAGCGCGCGUAAGUCUUCCGCGAAUCCUAUUACGCUUCAAUAACUAUUUUGAUAUCAUGUAUAUCCCGCUCUUUAUUUCACAUUCACUCGUGUUUUUAUAGCGUGUAUACUUAGCAUUAAGUUAUAAACAUGGUGCUAAAUACCACCUGUAAAUACAGUUCAGAAAUAUAUAAAUAUUUCAACACAAACAAACGGCACAGCUCGAGGAUUAACGUUGCCUUCUAGUGAACAAAACCAUGGCUACCCAAACACAAGAAGAACAACACGACGGCACAUCACGGUUAUUGACUCAGUAAUUGCUCUUCAUUUCCUAUUUCUGCACUUGGAGCGGAAACAUUUCCCAGUAGUUCAGAAAAUACGCAGACGAUUAAGUGUGAAGUAAAAGUGUGAAACGCACCCUUUCCUUCAUGCGUCCAAGAAUGAACUUCAGGUAUGUUGUCAUUUCCUGUUUGUUCAAAUUCUUCCUUUUACUGCCCUG